GAAGGACGUGGUAAGCUGCGAAAAGCUGCGGGGAGCUGCAAACAGGCUUCGAUCCGCAGAUGUCCGAAUGGGGCAACCCGCACAGUUGAAGGCUGUGCACGCAUUACAUGCGAGUCAACGCAGGGAACUGAAACAUCUUAGUACCUGCAGGAAGAGAAAGAAAAAUCGAUUUCCUGAGUAGUGGCGAGCGAAAGGGAAAGAGCCCAAACCGGUGUUGUUGAGGCAACGCCGGGGUAGUAGGAGCAGGCAACAAGACCAGUGAUCGAACCGGAAGUGUCUGGAAAGUCACACCGAAGACAGUGACAGUCUGGUACGGGAAAGAGAGAUGGUCGAGCCGGCCACCUGAGUAGGGCGGGACACGAGGAAUCCUGUCUGAAACCGCGGGGACCAUCCCGCAAGGCUAAAUACGACCUGAAGACCGAUAGUGGACCAGUACCGUGAGGGAAAGGUGAAAAGAACCCCGAACAGGGGAGUGAAAUAGAACCUGAAACCGUUCGUUUACAAGCUGUAGGAGCAGGGUAACCUGCGACUGCGUGCCUUUUGCAUAAUGAGCCUACGAGUUGCGUCGCGCCAGCGAGGUUAAGUCCUUCAGGGACAGGAGCCGAAGCGAAAGCGAGUCUGGCAAGGGCGUUAUAGUUGGCGCGAGCAGACGCGAAACCUAGUGAUCUACCCUUGGCCAGGAUGAAGGUGCCGUAACAGGCACUGGAGGUCCGAACCAGUUUCCGUUGAAAAGGAUUUGGAUGAGUUGAGGGUAGGGGUGAAAGGCUAAUCAAACUGGGAGAUAGCUCGUACUCCCCGAAAUGUCUUUAGGGACAGCCUCGGUGCAGAUUCGCGGAGGUAGAGCGACUGAUAGGAUGCGAGGGCUUCACCGCCUAUCAAUUCCUGACAAACUCCGAAUGCCGUGGAUUGGUCGCCGGGAGUGAGUCGCCGGGUGCUAAUGUCCGGUGGCGAGAGGGAAAUAGCCCAGACCAACAGCUAAGGCCCUUAAACGUGACCUAAGUUAACAGAACGAGGUGACUUCGCAGAGACAGCUAGGAUGUUAGCUUGGAAGCAGCUAUUCAUUUAAAGAGUGCGUAACAGCUCACUAGUCGAGCGGGGUUGCGUGGAUGAUAAACGGGUAUCAAGGUCACUGCCGAAGCUAUGGACUCCGAAUAGAGAGUGGUAGGGGAGCAUUCCGACCGGCAGAGAAGGUGGACCGUAAGGUCUGCUGGAGCGAUCGGAAAAGAAGAUGUAGGCAUAAGUAACGACAAUGCGUGACAGAAACACGCACACCGAAACCCCCAGGUUUCCUGAACAACGUUAAACGGAUCAGGGUUAGUCGGGGCCUAAGGAUAACCCGAAAGGGGAGGUCCGAUGGACAAAUGGUAAACAUUCCAUUACCUGUGCAAGGUGUCAGAGGAGAGACGGAGGAAUGACACGCCCGCCGGCUGACGGAAUAGCCGGUUGAAGGGAGGUAGCUAGACGGUCGGGUUAAGAGCUCGACUGUGGCGAGACCUGAUAGUACGCCGAGUCUUCGGACGAAGCGACAGCGGCGGUAAGUAGACUCCCGAGAAAAGCUUCCGCGACAUAACCUUGCGCAGCCCGUACCGUAAACCGACACAGGUGGGGAGGGAGAGAAUCCCGAGGUGCUCGAGUGAAUCAUGGCUAAGGAACUCGGCAAAUUAACCCCGUAACUUAGGGAUAAGGGGACCCUGCUUGAGCAGGGCGCAGAGAAAUGGCUCAGGCGACUGUUUACCAAAAACACAUGGCUUUGCAAAUUCGAAAGAAAAGGUAUAAGGCCUGACACCUGCCCGGUGCCGGAAGGUUAAGAGGGGAUGUCAGUUUAAUUUAUUAGAUGAAGCAUUGAAUCGAAGCCCCGGUAAACGGCGGCCGUAACUAUAACGGUCCUAAGGUAGCGAAAUUCCUUGUCGGGUAAGUUCCGACC
rnacentral:rRNA from 1 species